AAAGAGUAGUAUAAGUUUGGGUAGUACAUAAGAUUUUGAGUCUUAGUGUGUGGGUUCGUAUCCCGUUUCUUUA
rnacentral:tRNA from 1 species